rnacentral:rRNA from 1 species
AACGAACGCUGGCGGCAGGCUUAACACAUGCAAGUCGAACGCCCCGCAAGUGGAGUGGCAGACGGGUGGGUAACGCGUGGGGACAUACCCUUUCCUGCGGAAUAGCUCCGGGACACUGGGAUUAAUACCUCAUACGCCCUACGGGGGAAAGAUUUAUCGGGGAAGGAUUGGCCCGCGUUGGAUUAGCUAGUUGGUGGGGUAAAGGCCUGCCAAGGCGACGAUCCAUAGCUGGUCUGAGAGGAUGAUCAGCCACAUUGGGACUGAGACACGGCCCAAACUCCUACGGGAGGCAGCAGAGGGGAAUAUUGGACAAUGGGCGCAAGCCUGAUCCAGCCAUGGCGCGUGAGUGAUGAAGGCCUUAGGGUUGUAAAGCUCUUUCACCGAUGAAGAUAAUGACGGUAGUCGGAGAAGAAGCCCCGGCUAACUUCGUG